GAGACAGCAGCCGCCGCGGGAAUACGUAGGUCCCGAGCGUUGUCCGGAUUUACUGGGCGUAAAGCGAGCGCAGGCGGUUAGAUAAGUCUGAAGUUAAAGGCUGUGGCUUAACCAUAGUACGCUUUGGAAACUGUUUAACUUGAGUGCAAGAGGGGAGAGUGGAAUUCCAUGUGUAGCGGUGAAAUGCGUAGAUAUAUGGAGGAACACCGGUGGCGAAAGCGGCUCUCUGGCUUGUAACUGACGCUGAGGCUCGAAAGCGUGGGGAGCAAACAGGAUUAGAUACCCCUGUAGUCCCUGUCUCUUAUACC
rnacentral:rRNA from 1 species